GUCCGCACUGUAAACGAUGAUUACUCGUUGCUGGAAAGCAAUUUUUCAGUGACCAAGCGAAAGCGAUAAGUAAUCCACCUGGGGAGUACGCCGGCAACGGUGAAACUCAAAGGAAUUGACGGGGGCCCCGCACAAGCGGAGGAGCAUGUGGUUUAAUUCGAUGAUACGCGAGGAACCUUACCAGGGCUUGAAAGUUAGGGAAUAAUCCUGAAAGUGAUUAGUCAGCAAUGACCCGAAACUAGGUGCUGCAUGGCUGUCGU
rnacentral:rRNA from 1 species